GGGUAAAACUUAAGGAGGUUACCUACUACGGCCGUGAGGGAAAGCAUCAAAGCAGGGAGGUGAUAUUUGGGAGCAGCCGUGAGAUGAGGGAGGGCAACCUAGUCUCUUUGUUUCUACCCAGAACGCUUGGGGAGGAGCGGGAAGACUACUAUCCUUUCCGGUGAGCGUGUGGUGAUCCAUAGAAGGAGUGAACGUUCUCGGUCACACCUAGAGUCUUUGAAUCAUUCUGGAAACCUAAGAACCAAUGUGCAGUUUUGAAAUUAUAUAAUUGGGAUCUGUCUGGAGCGUUGUUGUGGCUGUUUGCUAGCACAGGGAAGAGAAAACAGCAAGGAAGAGAGGAGUUUUCGUGAGAGUUUUGGUGUGCAUCCGAGAGGCUGAGAAAGCAAGAUAAAUGUGAGGCUUAAACCAGCAAGGAAGGGGUUCGGAAACUUAAGAGAAUCAGAGAACUUUGGCACUCUCAUCCACUUGCGCAGCAGUAUCUAAGAAAAAUAGGAGAAUGGAUCCCAGAGGAAAUACUGUGGAAGCCGAAGAAAAAAAAGAUGGAGAAAAGACUAUGUCUGCUACUGACGUAACUGCAGAUCUCAGUUCUGAAAGUUGCAAAAUUUAUGUCAAUGGAGUCGAAAUUCGUCCAUUGAGAAAAAGAUUGAUUAUUUUGGACAUAAACGGCUUGUUAGCUGACGUGGUUUCUCCUCCUCCGGAGGAUCACGAGGCUGAUGUAACAAUCGAAGGAAGGGCAAAUUUGAAUUUGAUUUCAGUAUUUAAGAGGCCUUUCUAUCUGGAUUUUUUGAAGUUUUGCUUAAAAAAUUUUGAGGUUGGCUUGUGGUCUUCGAGAUUGGAGAAAUUUGUUGGUCGGGAUAUUGACUAUUUGAUUCCACCCUUCUUCAAAAACAAAUUGGUUUUCUGUUGGGAUGGUUCUUAUUGCACUCAAUUCUGGAUUUAUGAGCAGGGAAAGAAGAGUGUUGUCUAUUCGAAGGAUUUGAGGAAACUAUGGCAGAAGGAUGAUCCUAAUCUUCCCUGGAAUAAAUUGUAUUACAAUGAAUCAAAUACUCUGAUGUUGGAUGUUUGUCCUUAUAGGGGAAGGUUGAAUCCGCGAACCACCUCAGUUUACCCUCCUACAUUCAAUUAUCAUAAUAAAAACGACAACUCUUUAGCUGAAGGAGGAGAACUGAGAGCAUUUCUAGAAGGCUUGACAAAAGCUGAAGAUAUGAGAAAGUAUGUUAAGGAACACCCAUUUGGCCAAACCAUUAGUAAUGAAAAUAGUGGUCGGAUCACACGCAGUAGUAGAUAUAUUCUUGAAUAUCGGAAGGAUUAAACUUUUUUUACGUCUGAGAUGUCUUUGGAAGAGAUCCUGGUUGAAGAAAGCAAAAAUGAAGGUGUCUUGGCGGCAGGUCCAUUCUCUGGUGGGUCAAUGAACCCUGCAUAUGCUUUUGGCUCUGCAACCAUUGCAGGCUCUUUCAGAAACCAAGCAGUGUAUUGUGUUUACACUUUCUGAAUGUUGUUUAUCGUAUAAGGAAGGAUGUUAUCAGGCCUUGUGUUCAUAAAACUGCUUCUUGGUUUUAGUGCAGUUUUUUAGGAGAGGAGAGGGGAGGAAUGAAGGGGUUACUGAAACUCUUCGGAGGUUUCGAGGUUGAGUUCAAGAGGCUGUAAAGGGGGAAGGAGCACGAGUAAUGUGGUUAGAGAGCUAAGAGUUUAGAAGCAGGGGAUGGAGGUUGGAGAAGAUAGCAAAGACUUCAGAGUGCGAAAUGGAAAGCGCAACGGUGGUUGCAAGGCCGAAAACAGUAAGAGAAAAAUAGCAGAAUGGAUCUCAAAGGAAAUACCGUGAGUACUGAGAAAACUGAGGAAGCCGAAGAAAAAAAGAUGAAGAAAAGACUGGCUGCUACUGACGUAAUUCUAGAUCUCAGUGCAGAAAUUUACAAAUUUAUGUGAAUGGAAUUGAAAUUCGUCUUUUGAAGAAAAGACUAAUUAUUUUAGAUAUAAAUGGAUUGUUAGCUGAUGUAGUUUCUUUUUGUUUUUAUGAAUUCAGUGUAUUUUUAUGCUAAUUUUGACUAGGUUUGAAUUUGAUUUCAGUAUUCAAGAGACCAUUUUAUCUUGAUAUUCUGAAGUUUUGCUUCGAAAAUUUUGAAGUUGACAUAUGGUCUUCAAGACUGGAAUACUCUUUAUGCAAAAGGUAUGCCGAUUUCAAAAUUUUCGAAAUCGAAACUUUAGAAAAUCAAGAUAAAAGGUCUCUUGAAUACUAAAAUCAAAUUCAAACCUAAUCAAAAUUAGCAUAAGAAUAAACCAGAUUCAUAAAAACAAAGAACAAAACAAUUCUUACUUGUCUUUCCUUCAAUUAUAUCAGCCUCGUGAUCUUCCGGAGGAGGAGAAACUACAUCAGCUAACAACCCAUUUAUGUCCAGAAUAAUUAGUUUUUUUUUUAAUGGACGAAUUUCAAAUUCCAUUCACAUAAAUUUUGGAAAUUUCUGCAUUGAGAUAUGCAAUUAUGUUAGAACUCAAACUGUGUAACAAGUGUAGCGGGAACAGAAAGGUCAACUGAAGAUACAACUCACCAAAGACACUUGACAACAAAUCCCACUAAUCAGUGAUUAAGGAGGGGUACAAGAAACAAAAUAACUAACUCUAGGAUGGAGGAUUUUUAUUGGUCUAAAGGUCUAGUCUUUGUAUUCUUUUAGUUAAGCAAAAGAGGGGGAAUUGAUUUCUGUUUUGCUUUCUCUUUCGGUUGGGUCACUUUGUUUUUCUUACAUCAUUUGCUCUGUACAGCUAUGGAAAUGGCUCAUAACACUCUUAUGUUUUAUGAGCAUUAAAUUUUAAUACCACUGA